CACUCGAUGAAAUUGAAAUUGAAGGUAUGCUUUUGUACAGUAUCUACUUCCUGUAUGUCCUUUUCGUGAUAAAUAUGUGAAAUCUGAGCACAUUCAUCUGGAUUGGUUAACUUUAUGCACCUCAGAUACUUUUAAAACAUGAGCAUAAUAUGUUUUGUAGCAUCAUUGUCCCAGUUUAGUUCAAUUUUAUUUCUUUGUUUAAGAUGAGAUCAACUUAACUGAUGGCAGUGAUGGAACUGAACCUGACAGUGAUACAGAGGAUGCUACCUUGGGCACACCAAGACUGAAUGAAAGUCAAAGCAUUCAGCCGGCUACAGAAGAUAAUGCUGGAGGCUCAACAGAUUCCAUCAGUGUGGGCCAGGUUUUUACAGCAGCAAUUAAAACCUCAAAGAAGAAGUCGCGAACACAGUGGUCAAAACAGGAGGUGACAGCUGUAUUGAAACAUUUUAAAGAUCAUAUAACCAAAGGAAAACUGGCAACAAUGGCAGAGUGUCAGCAGUGCAAGUCAGCUGAGGACCCUGUUCUGGCAGGGCGCACUGUACAAAAUAUAAGAGAUUUUGUUAGAAAUAGAGGGAUCACACUUAAAAGGAAAACCAUGUCUAAUUGAAUAUAUAUUAUUUUCUAUAGAGGCAAAAAUGCCAAGGAGAAAAAUAUUGUUUAUUUCAAAUUUUUGGGGAGUAAAGAAUUUGCCCUCGUGUCAUGCACUAAAUUGCAGAAAGUCUUUUGUUACAAGUUAUAAUAAAAAAAGCAAUUGUUUCUAUUAAUAUUUUAAUUUCACGUUAGUACUUGUGCAUAAGUAAUCUGCAUUUCAUUAAUCAGGAAAAAAGUCAUUUUUGUUUUUGUGCAUAU